CCGCGCCCCAGCGAGGCCCAGGGCCUGGCGGUGGCCUGCGCGCGCUCAGGGAGUUCGGGCCGGCUGGUGAGCGGGGAGGGGUCGGGUCGACCGAGGAAUCUGAAAAAUGCAGGUCCCUAGAAAUUAGGUUUACAAAAUAAUACACAUUUAUUUAGAACAUAACUAUAUAAAGCUAUAAAAAUCCAAUCUGUAACUUAAAAAUAUAUAGAUUAAAAUUAAGGCCUGGCUCCAUUAUCCUGCGGCGUCGCUCACAGAGCCCUGGGGAGACAGACGCUGUUCCCAUUUCACAGGGGCUGACUCUUGGGGCCCAGAUUGAUGGACCUGGGAGGCCGGAGAGAGAGGCUGAGGACAGGUGCGGCUGUACCCCCAGGGAGCCCAGGCGGGCUCGGAGGGUCCCCAGGGAAGUCUUCAAGGGGCUGGGGGCCUGGGAUUGGGAGAGGACUCUACACAGGGGGUCCCAGUGUGUGUGUGUAUGUUACGUGUUGCCCCUGGAAUCGCUGCUGUCCUGUGCAAACACAGGAGUGACAGUCUAACAGCUUAGCCAGCCCCGGAAAGGGGGGAGGCCUCCCUGAAUGCCAGGGAGAUGGCACUCCUCCGUGCCCCUGCAGUCCAGCUCUGCUGCCUGCCUGCCCUUGGACUCCUUAUCGGGUCGCUGGGUGACCUUCCUUGGACAGGCAGGGCAGCCCAGAGGGAUUUCUGUCAUCACCCUAAGCCACCCUGCGACUGGUUAAGAGGAUCAGGCAGUGACCUGGGGACUCUACCUGAAAUUUGGGCUGAGAUAUCAGAGGGAAGGAUAAAUUUUCUGUGCCAUCUUUUACAGGCUUGGAUUAGCUUGAAUGAGGAAAUCAUCUGCAUCCCAACUGGACAGAAGUUCUGGGUUUUAUUUGUGUAUUUUACUUGUUUCUUUCCUGCACAUUUUCACCUGUGUCUUAUUCCCUGGUUAAUUUAACAGUAGAGUGCCUUGCUUGGACCAGAUGCUGGAGCCAGCAUGGGGAUGACCUGAAGCCUGCCCUUGAGAAGGUCGAGUACAUGUAGGCUGCCCAGGGCCCAUGCCAGGGAUGGGACGCCCUGGAGCCCAGGACAGCCCAGAGGAGAGAGACCCUCAAAGCUCCCCCCCAACCCCCUGCCCUCCGCAGUCAGGUUGUGUGUUCGAGGUCCUUGGGCUGCAACUUGGCCUGAUCCUUGCCUCUGCAGUGGAAGUGCGGAGAUGGCUUCAAGUCUUCCUACUGGGUGGUAAAUAAAAUGAACCUCUUCUGGUACGUUUACGGAUGAGACUUAAUAAUUUCUCUUGGAGAAAUAAUGGGCUCAUUCAAUUCAGAGAUAAGUUUUUAUUCUCUGGGACUCAGACGUUUCCUUUACAGUAAGUAAAAAAAACAACAAUGCUAUUUUCAUUUGGGGGGGGAAAGUGUUGUAAAUUAAAUUCUGAAAUUCAGUUAUAUGACAAUAACAUGCUAAGGCAAGUUAAUCCUUUUGGUAAAAUGAACACCCAAGCAUGUUUGUAUGCAGUUUAGUUUAUGCUUAUUGCUAGACUCUGAAGAGCUGGCACAGAUCUGGGCAAGAAAAAUGUGUCUAUUUCUUCUCAAUAUGUCUACCCUUUGAAUUAAAUAUACUAGAGGUUGAUGUUACUUGGAUGUCGACUUUUUUAGUAGUACUAUGAGACAUGAGGUUUAAUUUUUUUCCAAACUUAUUUCAAAAUGUGUCACAAACCUUUGGCUUGGUAAGGCAUUGAUAAAUUCAAGAUAGAG
ensembl:lncRNA